GGCUCGAGCACCGGACAAGGGAAGCCUCCCUCUGCCUGCUGGGCGGCCCUGCAGACCCCACUCGCCCACGGGACAUGGUAUCCCUGAGAAGCCGGUGUCCCAGGAGCACGGCUCUGGGGACGUUCCUACACCGAGCUGCAGACCCCGUUGCCUUGAAGAGUGAGAAACGCACAAACCUCUUCUGCACGCAGAAUCAGGCUCUGGAGACAGGGCUGCAAGCUCACCGUCCCUCUUCCCCUCCUCGAGCCCCAUUUGUCCCAAACCCUGGCAAUAAAAAGCACAAACCCAGCAAAUCUGGGCUGUGCCACCGCCGCAGGGUGCAGGCAGCCAGGGGUGCUGCCAGCCUCUCCCCGCAGCAGGGAUGAGAUCCACGCACAGGGAAGCACUGAAAGGUGAUGCUUGCAAACGGGGUCCCUGCCUCUCCAGUGCCUCUUCCCACCCUGCAUCCCG
rnacentral:lncRNA from 1 species